GGAGAAAUGGCUCAGUGGUUAUGAGCACUUACUGGCUGUUAUUCCAGAGCACUUGGGUUCGAUUCCCAGUGUCCUCA
rnacentral:tRNA from 1 species